rnacentral:tRNA from 1 species
AAGAUUUUAGUUAACAAUAACAUUUAAAUUGCAUUUAAAAAUCAAAUAAACUUUUAUAUAAAUCUUA